rnacentral:lncRNA from 1 species
UUCAUUGUUUUUCCAGUCACUGUUCGGUACUGUUCAUCGACACUGUUUGUCACUGUUCAUCGAAAGAAGAAAAAAUUUCCAGAUCUCGAUUAGGGGUUUUCCAAAAAAUUUCCAGAUUCCGGCGGGAGGAGAGGGAACAGCUCGAAAAAAUCAUCUCCAGUUCCAAUCGACCUUUAGCUCCACCCAUAUGAAAGUUCUCUUAAAAAUCCCAGCUCACAAAGUUUUCGGAUCGAAGAUCCCAAAAUCAGAAAACAUAGUCUCGAAAUCUCCUUCGAUUUGCGGCUGAUGACCCUCUUCAAGUCAGUGGUUAUCGUCGCUUCACCUGCUAUCUCUCACGAGGCCAUCCGCCCCUUCUUCAUCGCCGUGAACCACCGCGCAGCUCGUCGACGGUCUCGCCCCCGCGAACUACUGUGAAGCCUGCGGGUUUUCAAUUUAAGACCCUCCACAUUCUCCGAAAGCAUCCGCCGCGCUGUCCGAGGCGGCUGACAUUUCCGGCGUAGUUCUAGGGAAAAGCUUCCGCAGCCAUGGCCCCUUGGCCCUUUCCCUCUUUCUCUCUUUCAAUAUUUUAUCUUUGCUGCUAAUUAUGCUCUCUCUUUCGUAGAAAUCUAGAGGCCCCAAUUCCAUUUCCGAUUGAUGUUAUUUUGCUCAAGAGUCGUUGACUGUUGUUUUACAUUUACAGAACAUUUGAUGGGGAAGAUGACGAACUAGUUGAAAUUAAGGUUGAAGUUGGCUGUCAAGGGAGUAUUGGAUUCCAUUGAGUUUGCAAGAGGCUCAUAAUCUUAUCCACAAAAUAAGAUUAACGAAGAAAAAGGGAUUAAGGUGGAGGUACUUUCUAAAUUUUCUUUUUAUCCAAUUGGAAUCAAUCUUCAUGAGAAUUGAAUUACGGGAAGGGAGAAUCUCAUGACCUUAAUUGAGAGUAGUAAUAACUAAUACUCAUUAUCUCUACCGUAUGAGUAUCUUUGUAUCAUUUUCUCUGAUAGGAUUGUAUAUGAGAAGUAUGCUUGUUGUUGCUUAUGGGGUAAUCUGAUAUGUUUUUAGUUCCAUAUUGUUGUGUUGACUCAAAUGAUACUUGUAAUACUUGUUGACUCAAAUGAUACUUGUGGUUGUCCAAAGUUUGUUCUCUAGAUCAAUUACUCUUACAUAGAUGUUCAUUUACCAAGUAAGAUCUUGGUUGACUUGAUAAAUUGGGAUUUACUAUUGCAAUUAUAUGUGUCUUGGCAUGUUGAAAUUACACUUUGGUCUUAUGCAUAUCAUGGGUGUGAAACUAGUGUUUUGAUGGGUUGGUAAAUGAAAAUUUCUUUUAUGGGACAAGCUCGUGUAGGAAAUUUGAAUACGAGAAUGGGACCGACUUGUUUAACAUGUUAAGUUAAAUUUACUUUAUCAUUGAAAUACGGUUUAUGUCCCUGGAGCUAUACAUUUUCAUUGUUAGCGAGGGUAAUUUUUGUUGUCAAUAAUCUGUGAAAUUUGGGGAUUGAUUGAUAUUUUACGCAUCUAUUGUGUUUAAAAAUUUGUUAUGAAACCACAGAUUUGUUGGGGUGCCAAUACUUUAGUGAGAAUACCUUGAGGGGCUUUCAUAUGUUGCUAACACUUUUGCCUAAAAGAUCUUGUAGGCUUGUAGCACAGGGAAAUUAAAUUUGGGAAAGCUUUGAACAAAAUAU